rnacentral:tRNA from 1 species
GCUCCGGUAGUAUAGCCAGGUUAAGUAUUCCGGCCUUUCGAGCCGGAGACCCGGGUCCGAAUCCCGGCCGGAGCACCA